rnacentral:rRNA from 1 species
GACGAACGCUGGCGGCGUGCUUAACACAUGCAGGUCGAACGCUGAAGCUCAGCCUUUGUUGGGUGGAUGAGUGGCGAACGGGUGAGUAACACGUGAGUAACCUGCCCCCUUCUUUGGGAUAACGCCCGGAAACGGGUGCUAAUACUGGAUAUUCACUGGUCUUCGCAUGGGGGUUGGUGGAAAGGGUUUUUCUGGUGGGGGAUGGGCUCGCGGCCUAUCAGCUUGUUGGUGGGGUGAUGGCCUACCAAGGCUUUGACGGGUAGCCGGCCUGAGAGGGUGACCGGUCACAUUGGGACUGAGAUACGGCCCAGACUCCGACGGGAGGCAGCAGUGGGGAAUAUUGCACAAUGGGUGCAAGCUUGAUGCAGCGACGCUGCGUGAGGGAUGGAGGCCUUCGGGUUGUGAACCUCUUUCGCUCAUGGUCAAGCCGCAACAAUGGUUGUGGUGAGGGUAGUGGGUAAAGAAGCGCCGGCUAACUACGUG